rnacentral:lncRNA from 1 species
GCUGGCCUGCCACGUCCUUCACGUGGGAGACGCGGGCUGCGUUCCGGGCACACGUGGGUGGUGGCCCCUCCCUGGCACCGGGCCGGAGGGCUCCCUCCGGGCCCUUUCUGCUGCAGAUGAAGGGUGCGGUGCUGGCCAGGACCGCGCUCACGUUGCAGCCCCAGCCCUUGCGGUGCGGAGCGCACUCUGCGUCUGCCCGCUUGCCUGCCACCCUCCACCAGGACUCGCGCUCCAGCCGACAUUCCUCCCAGCAGACCACGCUUGGCAGACCGUGCGCUUUCUGGGCACUCUGCUGUGUUUUCAGCCAUGGUCCUCGGUUCUCAAGGUCCUCCUGCAAGCCUCCAGCCUGAUUUCAGAUUUAAGGGGGAAAACAGCACACGCACAAAGCAGAGCAAGAGCCGUGAUGUAAAAUGGAAGUGGGACCUGGCGGCAGCCAGCGAGCUUGUGAUCGGGUGGGACGCGUCUCUCCUCUGACACGUCUGUCUUGGAGGAGUGUGCUGGCCCGGCACGGCCUGUCCCCUGGACCCCAACCCGGCCCGGCGGGGCUCCCUACCCUCAGGAAGGUCCGAGGAGUGAGAGGUGACCGUGAGCACUGCAGGGCUGGCCUGGUCGACUCCUGUGUGGUUUGUUGGUUGAGUCUGCGGACGGCGGCUGACGGUCACAAAGCUGCUGCCGAGUCCCUGCUCUGCUCCGCGGUCCCCACUGACCCCUGCAAGAUUUCGGGGAGGAAAGUUUGUGUUUGCUGUUGGUUUUUAAUAAAUGAAAAAGAGACGACUCAGAGGGUGCCCCACAGUAUACAGUGGGAAAGUGACGGAUCCAGAGGUUUUAUGAAAGGUGCUCUGUUUUCCUUUAGGCGCCUCACACCCGUGGAGGGAAGCACACGGGCCUGGAGGGUGCAGGGGCAGGAUGUCCUUUGGCCUCAUGUCUGGGAGCUGCCCUGGGGUGACGCUGCUCACUGUCCCACGUGGAAUCGGGGUGCCCUCUGCCUCUGUGUGUGUGGGUCCUGGGGUGUGGAAUCAGGGUGCCCUCUGCCCCUGUGCACGUGGGUACCGGGGUAUAGAAUCAGGGUGCCCUCUGCCUCUGUGUGCAUUAGUCCCGGGUUGUGGAAUCGGGGUGCCCUCUGCCUCUGUGCGCGUGGGUCCCGGGGUGUGGAAUCAGGGUGCCCUCUGCCUCUGUGCGCGUGGGUACCGGGGUGUGGAAUCAGGGUGCCCUCUGCCUCUGUGCGUGUGGGUCCCCGGGUGUGGAAUCGGGGUGCCCUCUGCCCCUGUGUGCUUGGGUACCGGGGUGUAGAAUCAGGGUGUCCUCUGCCUCUGUGUGCAUUAGUCCCGGGUUGUGGAAUCGGGGUGCCCUCUGCCUCUGUGCGCGUGGGUACCGGGGUGUGGAAUCAGGGUGCCCUCUGCCUCUGUGCGCGUGGGUACCGGGGUGUGGAAUCAGGGUGCCCUCUGCCUCUGUGCGUGUGGGUCCCCGGGUGUGGAAUCGGGGUGCCCUCUGCCCCUGUGUGCUUGGGUACCGGGGUGUAGAAUCAGGGUGUCCUCUGCCUCUGUGUGCAUUAGUCCCGGGUUGUGGAAUCGGGGUGCCCUCUGCCUCUGUGCGUGUGGGUCCUGGGGGCGGGAUCGGGGUCCCCUCAGUCGCUGUUAGCCGGGAUAACU